GACGAACGCUGGCGGCGUGCUUAACACAUGCAAGUCGUACGGUAAGGCCCUUUCGGGGGUACACGAGUGGCGAACGGGUGAGUAACACGUGAGUAACCUGCCCACAACUUUGGGAUAACGCUAGGAAACUGGUGCUAAUACUGGAUAUGUGCUCCUGCUGCAUGGUGGGGGUUGGAAAGCUCCGGCGGUUGUGGAUGGACUCGCGGCCUAUCAGCUUGUUGGUGGGGUAGUGGCCUACCAAGGCGGCGACGGGUAGCCGGCCUGAGAGGGUGACCGGCCACAUUGGGACUGAAAUACGGCCCAGACGCCUACGGGAGGCAGCAGUGGGGAAUAUUGCACAAUGGGCGCAAGCCUGAUGCAGCAACGCCGCGUGCGGGAUGACGGCCUUCGGGUUGUAAACCGCUUUCAGCAGGGACGAAGCUUUUUGUGACGGUACCUGCAGAAGAAGCACCGGCUAACUACGUG
rnacentral:rRNA from 1 species